AUUGAACGCUGGCGGCAGGCCUAACACAUGCAAGUCGAGCGGAUGAAGGGAGCUUGCUCCUGGAUUCAGCGGCGGACGGGUGAGUAAUGCCUAGGAAUCUGCCUGGUAGUGGGGGAUAACGUCCGGAAACGGGCGCUAAUACCGCAUACGUCCUGAGGGAGAAAGUGGGGGAUCUUCGGACCUCACGCUAUCAGAUGAGCCUAGGUCGGAUUAGCUAGUUGGUGGGGUAAAGGCCUACCAAGGCGACGAUCCGUAACUGGUCUGAGAGGAUGAUCAGUCACACUGGAACUGAGACACGGUCCUGACUCCUACGGGAGGCAGCAGUGGGGAAUAUUGGACAAUGGGCGAAAGCCUGAUCCAGCCAUGCCGCGUGUGUGAAGAAGGUCUUCGGAUUGUAAAGCACUUUUAGUUGGGAAGAAGAGCAGUAAGUUAAUACCUUGCUGUUUUGACGUUACCAACAGAAUAAGCACCGGCUAACUUCGUG
rnacentral:rRNA from 1 species